UACGUAGGGUGCGAGCGUUAAUCGGAAUUACUGGGCGUAAAGCGUGCGCAGGCGGUUCGUUGUGUCGGUGGUGAAAUCCCCGGGCUCAACCUGGGAACUGCAUUUGUGACUGCAUGGCUAGAGUGCGGCAGAGGGGGAUGGAAUUCCGCGUGUAGCAGUGAAAUGCGUAGAUAUGCGGAGGAACACCGAUGGCGAAGGCAAUCCCCUGGGCCUGCACUGACGCUCAUGCACGAAAGCGUGGGGAGCAAACAGG
rnacentral:rRNA from 1 species